UACGUAGGGUGCAAGCGUUAAUCGGAAUUACUGGGCGUAAAGCGUGCGCAGGCGGUUGUGCAAGACAGAUGUGAAAUCCCCGGGCUCAACCUGGGAAUUGCAUUUGUGACUGCACGGCUAGAGUGUGUCAGAGGGGGGUAGAAUUCCACGUGUGAGCAGUGAAAUGCGUAGAGAUGUGGAGGAAUACCGAUGGCGAAGGCAGCCCCCUGGGAUAACACUGACGCCUCAUGCACGAAAGCGUGGGGAGCAAACAGGA
rnacentral:rRNA from 1 species